rnacentral:rRNA from 1 species
AGUGAACGCUGGCGGUAGGCCUAACACAUGCAAGUCGAACGCAACCACGUUAAGGUUUGGCCUUUCGGGUUGGCGGCGGCCGGACGGGUAAGAAAUCCAUCGAAUACAACUUUUCCUGGGGGAACAACGUGGGGAAACUACCAUUACACCGUAAUCGAACCAACGGCGUAAACCAGGGGUUCUAGGCGCUUUUCCCGUUUCAUUAAGCCGUUGUCGGAUUAGCUAGUUGGCGGGGUAAGGGCCCACCAAGGCGACGAUCCGUAGCUGGUCUGAGAGGAUGAUCAGCCACACUGGAACUGAGACACGGUCCAGACUCCUACGGGAGGCAGCAGUGGGGAAUAUUGGACAAUGGGCGCAAGCCUGAUCCAGCCAUACCGCGUGGGUGAAGAAGGCCUUCGGGUUGUAAAGCCCUUUUGUUGGGAAAGAAAAGCAGCAGGUUAAUACCCCGCUGUUCUGACGGUACCCAAAGAAUAAGCACCGGCUAACUUCGUG